GCCUCGGUGGUGUAGUGGUAGAGCACGCGUCCCUGGAUAGGAUGAGUCGCGGGUUCGAUUCGCGGCUGAGGUCA